GUUGGUGUUGAAAACACUGGGGGUCCACCCGUUGCCAUACCGAACACGGAAGUUAAGCCCAGAGGUGCCGAAGAUACUAGGCUGGAGACGGCCCGGGAAAAUAGGGAAAUGCCAACA
rnacentral:rRNA from 1 species